UAGGGAAUCUUCCACAAUGGACGCAAGUCUGAUGGAGCAACGCCGCGUGAGUGAAGAAGGUUUUCGGAUCGUAAAGCUCUGUUGUUGGUGAAGAAGGAUAGAGGCGGUAACUGGUCUUUAUUUGACGGUAAUCAACCAGAAAGUCACGGCUAACUACGUGCCAGCAGCCGCGGUAAUACGUAGGUGGCAAGCGUUGUCCGGAUUUAUUGGGCGUAAAGCGAGCGCAGGCGGAAUGAUAAGUCUGAUGUGAAAGCCCACGGCUCAACCGUGGAACUGCAUCGGAAACUGUCAUUCUUGAGUGCAGAAGAGGGGAGUGGAAUUCCAUGUGUAGCGGUGGAAUGCGUAGAUAUAUGGAAGAACACCAGUGGCGAAGGCGGCUCUCUGGUCUGCAACUGACGCUGAGGCUCGAAAGCAUGGGUAGCGAACAGG
rnacentral:rRNA from 1 species